rnacentral:lncRNA from 1 species
GAGGCACUGGAGACAAAGAUCAGCCACGUGGCAGUCAACCAUGUCUAUCUGACCAAGUUCCAAUGAAAACUCUGGACACCAAGGCUUGGGAGAUAUUUCUCAAAAGACUCCUCUGCGGGAGAGGAGAAUAGCAAAUGCUACUCUCUCUAGCUGUACUCUAAGCAGUUCGCAGGGAGCAUCUUUCAGCAGCUGAAACAGCUUUGCGGCCUUGCUGUAAUGAAGAUCUGCCAGCACCCGGUGUUGUUUCCUAAGGUGUUCAUCACCAACCUAGAACCAAACCAAAACAAGCAACAAAUCCUUCACGAGAAAGAAAGAAAACAACUGUGUAAGCAGACAUCAGUGUAAACCUUAGCACUGUCUCUUGAUGAGAUAAGAGGAGGAUGGCAGUGACAGGAGUGUGGUGGCGAGCCAGUCACCUGCAGUCAACCACGGCUCAUUGCUCUCACCAUGCCUGUUACAUGAAGGUAUGUAUGUAUAGGAAAAAGCACUGAAAAACUCUCCAGUUUCAGGCAUCCACUGGGGAUCU